rnacentral:misc_RNA from 1 species
UCCGGUUUGUCACCGGCAGUCUGGUGUGAGUCCCCAACUUAAUGCUGGCAACACACCACGGGGGUUGCGCUCGUUGCGGGACUUAACCCAACACCUCACGGCACGAGCUGACGACGGCCAUGCAGCACCUUGCUUUGUGUCCCGAAGGAAAGGUCCAUCUCUGGACCGGUCACGCGCAUUCUAGCCUAGGUAAGGUUCCUCGCGUAUCAUCGAAUUAAACCACAUGCUCCACCGCUUGUGCAGGCCCCCGUCAAUUUCUUUGAGUUUUAACCUUGCGGCCGUACUCCCCAGGCGGAUAACUUAAUGCGUUAGCUGCGCCACCCAAGCACCAUGUGCCCGAAUAGCUAGUUAUCAUCGUUUACGGCGUGGACUAC